rnacentral:lncRNA from 1 species
CUGGGCAGUAACUGAGCCUCCACUGUAGCUGGUGGUGUUUUUUUAGUAGGCCAAUUUGACCCAUUUACAUUUAUUUUCACAAUUUCUUUUCUUCUUCCAAAUUCAAUAUUCUCUAAAAGUUGUUUUAACUUACAAAAAGUUGCACAAAAUUAAUGUAUACAACUUGGUAGGGGAGAAGAAAGUUUUGCAGAUGAUGGAUAGGCUUGCGGCAUAGAUGUCAGCCCGCAGGUAUCCUGAUUUCCAUUUUGCAGAUGCAGCUAAAACUUCGAAGAGUGAACCCACUCGCCCAUGGAGCAAGCCUCAGUAAUAAAUGGACAGUCCCCCUUCUCAGUGCGGUGCUGCAGGUGUGCCAGAGCCCUGCAGACAGAGCCGGAGCGGGAGACAGCCCGCCGCUGCCAGGCCAGAGGAGACCAGCCGAGAAACAUGCGAAGGAAGGCCUGGGAGAGGGAAGGAGGAGAAUGCGGAGAAGCUCUUCUUCCUGCACAGGAUCAUUCUGCGAAACACGAGCCAAGCUGGCAAAUAAAUGGCCAUCUACCUGCUUGUCUGUUACUUACAAACAGCAAAGAGAAUUAGCAAGUUUCCUCCCUGCUUCAGAUAUUUCCUUAGAGUUCAGAUUCCAGAGAACCUUUUUUUUUAAAUGUAUAAAAAAGUCCCAAACCAUCAUGAAAACAGUUAUUAAAGACUAUUAAUCUAAUAGAUGAAAAUAGUUUAUUUUGCAUUAAAUUGAGAUCUGACCCUGGAAGGAGAUAUACAACAUUCCCAAGUUGCCCACUGCAUUGGGGGUGACACACUGUGGACCACAGUCCUCCACGUAGAGAUGCCUCAUUUUACAAGGCUUCCAACCUUGGGGUGCAGCUCUCCUUCAUGUGGGCCACUUAGCUCCUCCCCACCAAAGAGGAAAAUAAAGCAGCAUCUUCAAAGUGCAGGUAUAUUAGCUCAUAACUGACUGGUCCAGUGUCCUCCAGGGAAGCAACACAGGGGAAUCCACUGUGCCGAGAACUCCACGCACUCCUGGAGAGACGAAAGAGCUGGAGGCACAUGGGGGGCACAGAGUCAGUGAGCUGGGCCACCUCACCCUCUGCGGAAAUGGAGCCUAUGCACCCCUCAGGCUGGCUCCUGUUUCUGACCAUGCUCCCUGUGCCUCAGGCAUAGUGCCUUGCAGCCAUCUUUGGUUUCCUUGUCCGCUUUUGCACCUUCUUUCUCUAUGAUCAACCAGCAAAAU